GACGAACGCUGGCGGCGUGCUUAACACAUGCAAGUCGAACGAAAAGAGGGAAAGAGCUUGCUCUUUCCGGAAUUGAGUGGCAAACGGGUGAGUAACACGUAAACAACCUGCCUUCAGGAUGGGGACAACAGACGGAAACGACUGCUAAUACCGAAUAAGUUCCAAGGGCCGCAUGGCCCAUGGAAGAAAAGGUGGCCUCUACCUGUAAGCUAUCGCCUGAAGAGGGGUUUGCGUCUGAUUAGCUGGUUGGAGGGGUAACGGCCCACCAAGGCGACGAUCAGUAGCCGGUCUGAGAGGAUGAACGGCCACACUGGAAUUGAGACACGGUCCAGACUCCUACGGGAGGCAGCAGUGGGGAAUCUUCCGCAAAGGGCGAAAGCCUGACGGAGCAACGCCGCGUGAGUGAUGACGGCCUUCGGGUUGUAAAACUCUGUGAUCCGGGACGAAAAGGCAGAGUGCGAAGAACAAACUGCAUUGACGGUACCGGAAAAGCAAGCCACGGCUAACUACGU
rnacentral:rRNA from 1 species